CACUGUACAUCUACCAGCAGCAUGCCCCAUCCAAUUGGACAUCACGUCUGCAUGUAAUGUCAAUUUACACUGUACACAGACACACACACACUUACAAGCAGCACGUGUGACCAGCUCAGAGGUGCCUCUCGCGCUCUAACGCACACACCAUCCGAUUGGACAUCACGUCUGCAUGUAAUGUCAAUUUACACUGUACACAGACACACACACACUUACAAGCAGCACGUGUGACCAGCUCAGAGGUGCCUCUCGCGCUCUAACGCACACACCAUCCGAUUGGACAUCACGUCUGCAUGUAAUGUCUAUUUACACUGUAGACACAUACUUGCACAAGCAGCACAUGUGACAAGCUCAGAGAUACCUCUCACGCUCUAA